rnacentral:rRNA from 1 species
AGUCAAUAGAUACCGGGUAGUCCACGCAGUAAACGAUGAAUACUAGCUGUAUGCGAUAUACUGUAUGUGGCAAAGCGAAAGCGUUAAGUAUUCCACCUGGGGAGUACGUUCGCAAGAAUGAAACUCAAAGGAAUUGACGGGGGCCCGCACAAGCGGAGGAACAUGUGGUUUAAUUCGAUGAUACGCGAGGAACCUUACCCGGGCUUGAAAUGCAGAGGAAUGACUUGGAAACAGGUCCGCCAGCAAUGGUCUCUGUGUAGGUGCUGCAUGGUUGUCGUCAGCUCGUGCCGUGAGGUGUCGGCUUAAGUGCCAUAACGAGCGCAACCCUUAUCAUUAGUUACUAACAGGUUACGCUGAGGACUCUAAUGAGACUGCCACCGUAA